rnacentral:lncRNA from 1 species
UGCGACUUUCCAGGGGGAAACAAGACGCAUCCCGGAUGGAAGCGAGAAGACUGACACAACAGCAGACUGACUGUUUUUCAGUUCUGAUUAGACACUAGUGUUGAGAUGACUGUCUGUCAUGAUAGCAUGUACUGAGUCGGGGCCAGUACCAGAUAAACACAUUAAACUAUAAUCCAUAAACGUAAGGUAACAACAGAGACCUAAUGGUGCUGUGACAGCAACGCUGUGAUUGAGUUUGAGACAGUGAAAAUACAUAUGGUAUGUUGUAUCUGAACAGGUUAGCUUACGCGCUAAAGUUACUUAGCACAGAUGAAAGUUAAAACAAAGACGUUAGCAAACUGUUAAAGCACACAAACCAUCGUCAUAUGAGAAAUCCGACACUAUGACUCUCCACAAGUUGUCCUUCAGGUCGUUAUCCUUGUAAUAUUUGUGUCUUUUAUCAAAAAAAACUCUCCGACACAUAAACAAUCAGCCGGUCGGCCAUGUUGGAUAUACCAGUGAAUCAGACAUCGCAACAACACGCAAUCUGAUUAGUCAGAAGCGGACACACGGUAUGCAAAACUCAAGAAAAUUAGACCGUAAUGCGAAAAAAUAAAUGCCGCAGUAUCGCAGGACGGUAAAACGUCGCUGUUGUGGACGCUUGUGUUGACAGGAUAAAGGUUUGAAAAAAAUAAUUGACGUCCGAAAUAAUCGCAUGAAAAAAACACUCCCGGUAUGUAAGGACCUUGAGGGUGUAGGUGUUAGAUAUGCAGCUUAAGAACCAGUUCCAUUUUUACAAUUCUGGUGUGAAAUAUAUAUUUAUCAAAUGAUUGUUUUAGCCAUCAAGAGUUAGCAAGAUGAGAUAGUUUUAGGUAGAUUGUAGACUGUGGAUUGUUUUGUCCACAGGAGGCGCCACAAUUGACACAAACUUAAAACUACUUAAAAGCUUUAAAGAUUCUGGGCUAAGAGUGUAACUGGAGCAUAGUCUUAAAUCUUACGCUAAUGCCCACAACUGUGAAGAAAAAAAUUACUCACUUCAUACCCGUGAUGUGGUUGGGUGCAAAGGUGCCAUGUUGCUAUCUUAAGGUGCACUACUUUCUGGCCGUUCAUAGGCCAUGUUUGUGAGGUAGUUCGAUGGCCUUGGAAGGUGAAUAACCAAUGAAAACCAAGUCAUGUAUCUUGGUAUUUAAGUCCAAGACAGUAUCAUAUAUCAUAUUGUAUCAUGUCAUAUAUUAUCCUUCCCUAUUGUAUCAUAACGUAGUGUGAUAUAAGGUAUCACACCUCUGUUUUGUUGAGUAGUUUUCACAUGACUUUAACCCACAUCAAUUCAAGACAUCUUUACAUAAAUGGACAAUCAAUUGGUGAGAGACAGGAGCACAACAGCACAGUUAUGUUGGUUCUGGCCUCUGAUGCGUUUUUAACUGCACCUUUCAGAGACUUGCUCACAGGCCAAAGCCACAGUGUUGGGAGUCAAACCUUGAUGCGAAUCAAAUUGCAUCCCCGUCUACAGAAACAUAAAAAUGAGCAACUUAACCGCUAAUUCUUUUUUGAUGUGCAGUCAAUUCACAGGGAGGAAACUCUGCAGUUUAAGGUAAUUAUUGUAACUCAUUAUAACCAGCGGCAUCAAGUGUCGGUCUUAUAGGUCAAGUGGGUACAAUCUGGCGCCUGAGUGUUCGUGGAAGUUAAUAACUACAUUUGCAACAGCAGCGUGGGGAGGUCUUGGGUGCACAAGUGGAAGCGGUUUUCAUUGGCAGCUCAAAUUGAUCCCCUUCAUUUGAAACUCUGACUGAAGUCUCCCAGUUUCCUCUUAAAAUUUACGUUUGCAAUGGUACAAAUACAAAUUUGAUUACUCUCGAGACUGCUGCCGCUCAUUCGAAGCGCCGACGAGGCAAUGGUAGAAAUGAAAGCCGCUUUGAUUGUCAGUCAGGGAGAUUCCUCAAUUAAGACACGCAACAGGUGGGAAAACCAAAAUUGAUGUGACACACUUUCAUUGUUGCUUCCCCAGCUUGGCUGUCAGUUUGUAUCGCUGUCAGGUGUGGGUGACAGCCCACCAACUAAUCUGAAGAGUCAUUCAGACGGCAGUCAUUGGAGCUGGAUGUCUUCAUUGGUGUAGUUUUUGCGAGUGCUUCCUUUGAGUUACUAUCGUGGUUACUAAUGAGGGACCAAUGGUACCGGCCUCCCUGUAAUCAGUGCUCAUUGGACCAGGUUGAACCCAGCAGUUCAAAUGUUGUGCAGUUCGUUUGCUUGCAUGGUUGGUUAGAUGUGUAAUUGUAUUGAAAGUGGUGUCUAGUCAAAAGGGACGGUCAAAAAUCACGUUGUUUUAGCUCUGCGUGACACAGAGAUAGCAAGCAGAGGUCAAUAAACAAGGUUUUGAGAAAUCAUUGAUGAAUGAGCCAAUGAGGAUUCGCUUUGGUGUUUUUAGUUGUUUUAGCAGAUUUGUGUUUAAGCAGAUCACGAAACCAUCAUAUAAAUUAGAGUUAUUGUAUUCCACACUAAUGAGGCUUUUUCAAUCUCAUAAGAUACAAUCCUUGUCUGUGAUUACAGUCGAACAUAAAUGGUGAAAGAACUGUUCUGGCCAGGAUUGCACUCCCUGUGGCCCUGUUAUGGUGGACUUCUACCCGGUCCGUGUUCAGCCUUGAUCCUGUGCAGCUUCAUACCUCUUAAUUCAUCAACACCCACUUCGUUUUCAGAGUGCAGCGCGGCAGAGCACCAUCAGACAGCUGGGGUCACAAGACCAAGGAUUUCCUGCUUUACAUUCAGAAUCGGUGGUUUUCUAUCUCCAUGAUGAGCUCUGGAAACCUCUGACCCGUUGACUCCACGCCUGGCCCUGCUCAUUAGGAUGGUUUGUCGGUGUAGUUAAGCGAAACAUGAUCUGGCCUCUACACAGUGCGUUUAUUGUUUGUUUUUUACAGAGAAAAAAAAAAAAAUUCAAACAGUCUGUCAGUGUCUGACUUCUUCUAACUCUUGAUCUGCCCUUUGUUGAUUGAUGCAUCUUGGCAAAACCCGUCUGUAUCUACAGUGCAAAGAUUAGGAUUGCUGAUGCUGGAGUGAAGUGAAACACAAUGCAGCACAGCCACACAUUGAUAAAAAUGUCUAUGAUUUUAAAUAAAAUUAAAUUUUAUAUGAAAACUUCAAGAUGAUUUCUUUCAAUUCCUGCUGAUAUAACUCAUUAUCCAGCCUCUCUCAAGGUCCCUCCUUAGACCAGUGUAGCUCAGCCAACAUUUUCCACUUAAAUGCCCAGACAAAGCAGAUGCAAUAGACCGAGUCUGUAUGGCCUAUAAAAGCCUUUAUUUUCAUUUAGCCUCCACAAAUUACCUAUAAUUUUCUCCAGCAAAGUGGCGUGAAUUUGAAACCGGUUCGAUUCUGUUAGAUAUUUGGAAAUAAACUAUGAAAGCCUACAGAAAAGUAUAAGUAGAUUGCAAAGGGUUCAGUUUCAUCAAGUCCACAAAUUACCUAUGAAAGGCUCCAGAUUUCAUUUAAAGUCUGAAAAGACGUGUGGUGUUUUUUUAAAGGAUUUAGGUUUAUGAAGUAGCCACAAAAUACCUAAAAACCUCCUGAUUAAUUCUGUGAAUUCGUCAAAGGUGGGUGUUCAUUUGGUAUCCACAAUAAACUAUAAAAUGCACCAGAAAAGCGGUGUGAAACGAUUCAUUACACUUCCCAAAUUUACCAUUUAAGCUUUCAGAGAAGUGGUAGGAGCAGGUUUGGUUUCAUUUAGUGUCCACAAAAUACCCAUUAAAGUCUCAGGGAAAGUGGCGUUAAUUUGAGAAGCUUUUUUGGCACGACUAGAAACCAUGACUUCACAGUGGGAGGCAGCCUUAAAUUCCUUAUUCUGGUAAAUAAAUGGUUUAAUUUUAUUUAAAAGAUGAUGCUGGUCUUCAGUGAGAAUAAUUCAAGUCUGUAAGAAAUUUCCAAUUAGUGUAAAGUCAGUGUGCUGUUGUCGGAAGAGAAUUUAUAGCACUAAAAGUCCUUACACACCAGGCGCGAAUUUGCCAGGCGAAUUAUUCGCCUUUAUUUGCCUUUUUUUAAAACAGCAUAGGGUCAAUGCAAGCUUCCACACCGGCGGCGAUUUUUCCGUGGGGCGAAAAGUGUCUUAUUUUUUCGCUCUUGUGUCGAAUUUUUCGGGGAUUUGCAGGCGAAUAUCUGGACCUGCUAGACCUCUGGCCAAUCAGAAGUCAUGUUGUUGAUGACGUCACAGACCCAUGCGGCUGCAGUUCACACGACACACACCACCACUGGCACCAAGAGCAUCUAUGGGAAAGAGGCUGGUAAUUUAUACGCAUAUUCGCUUCGCGCCCGGUGUGUAUAGGCAAAGCGAUUUUUCGGACCGGCGAAUAUUUUCGCAUCUUCGUCUCGCUUUUUCGCUUUGUUCCGCAAAUUCGCUGGUGUGUAAGGACCUUUAGUCGGUAAGUUUACAUCACACUCGAGAAAACCAAAUCAUUGCCUUUCUCCGAUUAAGACCGGACAACUGAAGUGCAUGUAAACACCUUAGUUCGACUUUGAUCAGAGUUUGAGAACUUCAAAUGGGGUCGGUGAACUCCGAUUAAGACACCCAGAUUACGCGAUUGGAAUUCGAUUUUCUCUACCAUGUAACCAGCAUAGUCGGAGUAUGAUUGGACAAUGCGCAUGCACGUGCACCACGCCCCUAUAACCCCAGAACAAAAACACCAGAGAAGAGGAGUAGUGUGCACCUCAUCUGCAGAAAAAGUAGCGCAUACGUUAUGUUACGACAAAAACAACGCUGUAUGAUGCUUCAUCUUCUUGCUCAAAAAUGCCCAGCAGCAGUUGUAGACACUUUGACGUCUGGCACAGACCUGCUGUUGUUGUUGAAAGGUAUAUGGGGUCAACCAGAAACAGCACCACUGAAAAGACCCACAUCGCUCCCUAGUUUUCAGGAGAAGGACACGUUCACGUCAAUAAUUCGAUUUUCUCAGCAGCAUGUACACACGGACAAGGAGAGAAGUCAGAUUCGGCGAAAAAAAACAACAAAUUUUUAGCUUUGUCCGAUUAAGCUGUGCAUGUAAACACCCUGACUGACAUCUAGGGUAUCCUGGUUAAUGCGCAAGCAUUCGCACUUCUCAGGAGCUCCAGCUUGGUUGACAGAUUACAGCCAUUAUGUUCAUCUGGAUACCACGACUCUUGAUGAAUUCACUUUAAAAAGUUUUUUAAACUCUAAUGACAUUGAUUUUCUGCCGGAGCUGCCCAUAUUGACAGUUAAUACAUCACAGAACUGUGUUCAGCCAGUCAAAAGAAAAAAAGAAAAAAAAAACUUCAGAGCACUUCGCCAAUCCUGGAAACAAGCCAGUGUUCCCCAGCUGUGUCGAGACCUCUACUAAGUGCAGGGAGAGAAAAAAAAAAAAGACUGCAGAAGAGAAAAGAGAAAGAGGGUACAAGGAGGAUCGGAGGUGAAGUGUAAAAUCAUUAUAAUUAUGCUUUGAUAUUAAAUUACCAUGUAUAAUUGAAAUAGAGUUAGCGCCACAAUCUUCUCCCCUAAUAGCAGCUAUACUGCACGGUUCUGUUCCAUAACUUGCAAGUUAUUACCUGUCCUGCAUGGAAUUAGAAGUCACACUAUCAUUAUAAAACCCAUUUACCCAUCACUUUCUAUAUUAGAUCCAGGCUGCACACACACACACACUAUGGUUUUAAUUACAACCCAGUGCUUAAUUCUUCCUCUGUGUACUCUUAUGGGUAGCCAAUAAUUUCGUUAGAGAAGGAUAUAACUUACAGUGAUGCCGCUUGGACAUGCCUGAAAACGACUCAACUUUAUUAAUUGCUUAUAAUUGACACAAACAAUAACGCUGCAUUAUAACAAUGGAGGACGGUAAGGCAGAUAAUAAGAUUCCAGAUCUGAGAGUGUUAUUAAGUGAUGUGCUAAAACACAUUACUUAAUUAAACUUGCACUGCACUCUGGGAAGUUUUUCUAUUCCCUCAAGUUGUUUCAUGUGCUCAGCUGCAACUCAGUGCAAGCUUGGUGUUGUUGAUGAACAGCAGCCGCAACGGAGGAAAAGUCUAUCUCUAGGUUAGAGGCAUGACUCCGCAUAAAAAUGGCAUCCUAGAGAGGGAAAUAGUGUUCCUUGGGAAAGAAUUGCACUGACUCUGUAGUGCGAAUCAUCAAAUGAGAUCACAAAUAAUUAUGAGGUUUGUUGUCAGUGAACUCAGUAUGUUGCUUAAACUAAAGGUCCUAACACACCGGGAACGACACGAAAUUACGAAAUAUUCGGAGGCGAAUUUUGAAGCACAUUAAACUAUAAUACAUAAAUGUAAGGUAACAACCGAGACCUAAUGGUGCUGUGACAGCAACGUGAUUGAGUUUGAGACAGUGAAAAAUACAUAUGGUAUGUUGUAUCUGAACAGGUUAGCUUACGAGCUAAAGUUACUUAGCACAGAUGAAAGUUAAAACAAAGACGUUUAGCAAACUGUUAAAGCACACAAACCAUCGUCAUAUGAGAAAUCCGACGCUAUGACUCUCCACAAGUUGUCCUUCAGGUCGUUAUCUUUGUAAUAU